AGUUCUCGGGGAGGAGUUCCUGACCAUGGAAAUACAGAACAAUUAAAUGGCCACAGGAGUUGGCACCAAAUGAAUUGUCUUAGAUAACUGGAGCCUGUACCAUUGGCCCCGCACAGGAAGCUGGUGGCUAUCAGAACCUCACAGUAGGUUAUUCCUGCUCCUGCCCUCAUGUAUUAUCUGGAGUGUGGGGCUGUCAGCAGAAAGUUCUGUGAGAUAUGCUGAACUACAAUCUGUAUUGUAAGAAGACUCUCUGGGAAUUUAUAUGGAUUUAUAGCAAGUUUGGGAAGCCCUGGAUUCUAUUGAGAAGCCUUGGUACUAUUUUCCAAGAUUAGUUAACUAGCCUAGUCACCAGGCAUAUGGCUCUUAAGAAACAAAGACCCUUCAUGUGUCUUCUUCAGCCCACCCUCUACUUUUAUAAGUGUUCUACUUAGCUGUAGUGAAAGACACUCACUGACUUGAUAUAUUUGUUCCUCCGAUACUAAAAGUAUAAUGUAAAUAAUGUAAACUAGCAAUCUUAUGGGGGAAAAGA